rnacentral:rRNA from 1 species
CCUAAUACAUGCAAGUCGAGCGGAGAAAUGGGAGCUUGCUCCCAUUUCUCAGCGGCGGACGGGUGAGUAACACGUGGGCAACCUGCCCUACAGACUGGGAUAACUCCGGGAAACCGGAGCUAAUACCGGGUAAUACAUAGCAUCGCAUGAUGCAACGUUGAAAGUUGGCCUUUGGCUAACACUGUAGGAUUGGCCCGCGGCGCAUUAGCUAGUUGGUAAGGUAACGGCUUACCAAGGCCACGAGGCGCAGGUGACCUGAGAGGGUGAUCGGCCACACUGGGACUGAGACACGGCCCAGACUCCUACGGGAGGCAGCAGUAGGGAAUCUUCCGCAAUGGACGAAAGUCUGACGGAGCAACGCCGCGUGAGUGACGAAGGCCUUCGGGUCGUAAAGCUCUGUUGUUAGGGAAGAACAAGUACCGUUCGAAUAGGGCGGUACCUUGACGGUACCUAACCAGAAAGCCACGGCUAACUACGUGCCAGCAGCCGCGGUAAUAC